rnacentral:rRNA from 1 species
AACGAACGCUGGCGGCAUGCCUAACACAUGCAAGUCGAACGAGAUCUUCGGGUCUAGUGGCGCACGGGUGCGUAACGCGUGGGAAUCUGCCCUUUGGUUCGGAAUAACAGUUGGAAACGACUGCUAAUACCGGAUAAUGACUUCGGUCCAAAGAUUUAUCGCCUGAGGAUGAGCCCGCGUAGGAUUAGCUUGUUGGUGAGGUAAAAGCUUACCAAGGCGACGAUCCUUAGCUGGUCUGAGAGGAUGAUCAGCCACACUGGGACUGAGACACGGCCCAGACUCCUACGGGAGGCAGCAGUGGGGAAUAUUGGACAAUGGGCGAAAGCCUGAUCCAGCAAUGCCGCGUGAGUGAUGAAGGCCUUAGGGUUGUAAAGCUCUUUUACCCGGGAUGAUAAUGACAGUACCGGGAGAAUAAGCCCCGGCUAACUCCGUGCCAGCAGCCGCCGCAG